rnacentral:rRNA from 1 species
AGAGUUUGAUCCUGGCUCAGAAUCAACGCUGGCGGCGUCCUCAGACAUGCAAGUCGAACGAGAAAGUUUCCUUCGGGAAAUAAGUAAAGUGGCGCACGGGUGAGUAACACGUAGGUAAUCUACCUUCGGGUGGGGAAUAACCCAGGGAAACUUGGGCUAACACCGCAUAAUGCAGCGGCACCACAUGGUGACAGUUGUUAAAGCGGGGGAUUUUAGGACCUCGCGCCUGGAGAGGAGCCUGCGGCGGAUUAGCUUGUUGGUAAGGUAGCGGCUUACCAAGGCGACGAUCCGUAGCCGGCCUGAGAGGGCGGUCGGCCACACUGACACUGACAUACGGGUCAGACUCCUACGGGAGGCAGCAGUCGGGAAUUUUGGGCAAUGGGCGAAAGCCUGACCCAGCAACGCCGCGUGAAGGAUGAAAUCCCUCGGGAUGUAAACUUCGCAAGAAUGGGAAGAAUUAGUAGGGGCUAAUACCCUCUAUGAUGACGGUACCAUUUGUAAGCUCCGGCUAACUCCGUGCCAGCAGCCGCGGUAAUACGGGGGGAGCAAGCGUUGUUCGGAUUUACUGGGCGUAAAGGGCGCGUAGGCGGCCAGCACAAGUCGGUUGUGAAAUCUCCGGGCUUAACUCGGAAAGGUCAACCGAUACUGUGCGGCUAGAGUGCGGAAGGGGCAACUGGAAUUCUCGGUGUAGCGGUGAAAUGCGUAGAUAUCGAGAGGAACACCUGCGGCGAAGGCGGGUUGCUGGGCCGACACUGACGUGAUGCGCGAAAGCCAGGGGAGCGAACGGGAUUAGAUACCCCGGUAGUCCUGGCCUUAAACGAUGGAUGCUUGGUGUUUGGGGUUUUAUAGUCCCCGGGUGCCGUAGCUAACGCGUUAAGCAUCCCGCCUGGGGAGUACGGUCGCAAGACUGAAACUCAAAGGAAUUGACGGGGACCCGCACAAGCGGUGGAGCAUGUGGUUCAAUUCGACGCAACGCGAAGAACCUUACCAGGGCUAGAAUGCCUCUGACAACCCCAGAGAUGGGGCCUCUUAGGGAAACCUAGGCGGAGUGCAAGGUGCUGCAUGGCUGUCGUCAGCUCGUGUCGUGAGAUGUUGGGUUAAGUCCCGCAACGAGCGCAACCCUUAUCUUUAGUUGCUAGCGGUUCGGCCGAGCACUCUAGAGAGACUGCCGUUGACAAAACGGAGGAAGGUGGGGAUGACGUCAAGUCCUCAUGGCCUUCC